GAAAAUUGACAAAGGUUGAAAUUGUGGCAAAGCAACGCGGGCGAUAUUUUCAAUCUCCAAAAUUUUCACUCGCGCCCAUAUUUCAUCUCUUCCCUCUUCUGUCUUUUAUUUUUCAAAUCAAUCCUAAACUCAAAUCAGUAGUUUGCAGUUGCACAAAUCAUCAAUUUCCUCAACACUAUCCUUUUCCCUUUUGUUCGAAUCUGGUUCUACCCAAAAAACCCUAAAAUCAUGAAGAAAUCCAUUAACCCUAAUCGUUUUAUUUCGUCCUUGUUUCCGACCCUAAUCAUUCUUCACUUUAUGGAUUGUUUCCAAUUCCGCUUGCUAGGUUCUCUUUCUACGCAUACUGGUCCGUUUCAAAAGGUUUUAUAAUCUUUUUUCCACCAGAUUUAGAGGGACACCAAGGAGUCUUCUUCAUCCACCCGGUAGUUUCAGUUUUGGUGUUAUGGCAGGGUUCUCAUGUAUUGGUUUUUGCUGUUACGCGUUGGGGAUUGUUGUUUGUUUUUCUUCUGUUCUGGUUUUGCGGUUAUCCGUUGGAUUUUAGGCUCUAUUAGUGCUGGUUUAGGGUGGUUGCUACUGUAGUUUUGUUUAGCAGGUGGUGUUGUCUUGUUGAGCCUUUUUAGGCUUUUCUAAUUGACUCAAAAGUUACCAAGCCACAAUCAAUAUGAAACAAUGAACUAUGUAUACUAUAUAUUAGAUAUACCCCUUAUUUCAAAGUCAAUGGGAGUAAGAAUAAAGAUAACUUAUUUUCUUGUAGUGUCAAUUUUAAGUUCUCCUUUUCUUUAUUUUAAUGACAUCAAUAGUUAUAUUUUAACUUCUUUUUUUUCGGUCAAGAGUUAUAUUUUAACUUUAAAUAUAGAACACUUGAUAUUCACUAUGCCUCAGAUGAAAUAACUUAGUUACUUUCACAUGUUCAGCUUCUCAUUAGAACACAUACUAGCAUUGUUCUAGUACUCAAGAAGAGUUGAAGCACUUGAUUUGCUCAUUACUUGUUUGAUGGGAUGCUCUUUAGUUACUAAUUGAUUACCACAAAAAUGUUUAGGAUGCUCAUGCUGGAUAGAACUCCUUGUUCAAGUCAUUCAAAGCUUUAAAGCUCUAUCAACGUCAAUAUGUUCCAGCUGUAAAACAAGGUAGUCACAUCAAGUGAGAAGUUUGAUAGGCUUGCUUCUGGGAAAAUACAUAUGCUGCUUCAAAUGAUAUAAAGAUUUUUGCUACGAGUGCUUUUCCUUGUCCAUAUCUACACAAUCCUUUGGAUAUCUAUUUCAGGAUCAUAAACAGGUUAAACCGAAAGUGAUGUAAAAGAUACAUAAAGGAAUUAGAGCUUAUAAAGACACUUCACAAAGAUUAAUCUAGAGAUGACAUAGACUAUGUAAGUCAUGAGCUAGAAACUUUAUAUGUUGGAUUAAGUUUCUACUAGCUAGGUUCAAGACCAAACAAACUAUCCAAGUCCACACAUUGAUUGAUGAAGAUGGAAGAGAUGAAGAUUAGAAGCUAAUUAUAUUCCGACGAAUUAGCUUUAGUUACUUUUCGUUAUGUAUUUUUGAUAUUAUAUAGUGCCGCAGUGGUGCACUUGAUACUUUGUAAGAACGACAAAUUUUUAUGUUAAUGUUACAAAUUUGGUGUUGAUCAAAA